rfam:Roseivivax lentus strain DSM 29430 genome assembly, contig: Ga0111641_118
CGAUCGGGAGGCCUCUGGUGGGACAGGGGCCAUGAAUGGAUCGGAGCCUUCCUUCUCGGUUGAGCGCGCACCCGAUGCCCGACGGGCGCG